AGAGUUUGAUCCUGGCUCAGAAUCAACGCUGGCGGCGCGCUUAGCACAUGCAAGUCGCACGAGAAAGCCGGGGCAACCUGGUGAGUACAGUGGCGUACGGGUGAGUAACACGUGGGUAAUCUACCUCUUAGUGGGGAAUAACCCUGGGAAACCGGGGCUAAUACCGCAUAAGCUCGAGAGAGGAAAGCAGCAAUGCGCUGAGAGAGGAGCCCGCGGCCGAUUAGCUAGUUGGUGAGGUAAGAGCUCACCAAGGCAAAGAUCGGUAGCCGGCCUGAGAGGGCACACGGCCACACUGGCACUGAAACACGGGCCAGACUCCUACGGGAGGCAGCAGUGGGGAAUCUUGCACAAUGGGGGAAACCCUGAUGCAGCGACGCCGCGUGAGCGAUGAAGCCCUUCGGGGUGUAAAGCUCUUUCGGCAGGGACGAUAAUGACGGUACCUGCAGAAGCAGCUGCGGCUAACUACGUGCCAGCAGCCGCGGUAAUACGUAGGCAGCGAGCGUUGUUCGGAGUUACUGGGCGUAAAGGGUGUGUAGGCGGUCCUUUAAGUUUGGUGUGAAAUCUCCCGGCUUAACUGGGAGGGUGCGCCGAAUACUGAGGGGCUAGAGUGCGGGAGAGGAUAGUGGAAUUCCUGGUGUAGCGGUGAAAUGCGUAGAUAUCAGGAGGAACACCGGUGGUGUAGACGGCUAUCUGGACCGUGACUGACGCUGAGACACGAAAGCGUGGGUAGCAAACAGGAUUAGAUACCCUGGUAGUCCACGCCCUAAACGAUGCAUAUUUGGUGUGGGUGAUUCAGUUCAUCCGUGCCGGAGCUAACGCGUUAAAUAUGCCGCCUGGGGAGUACAGUCGCAAGGCUGAAACUCAAAGGAAUUGACGG
rnacentral:rRNA from 1 species